rnacentral:rRNA from 1 species
AAAUUGAAGAGUUUGAUCAUGGCUCAGAUUGAACGCUGGCGGCAGGCCUAACACAUGCAAGUCGAACGGUAGCACAGAGAGCUUGCUCUCGGGUGACGAGUGGCGGACGGGUGAGUAAAGUGGCGGACGGGUGAGUAAUGU